CUAUCCAAGCUUGUUCAGGCUCAUUCCACAUACUAUCACCAAGGACAUGACCUCAUGAAUGAUCUGGAAUCAUACAUGAAAGAACUGAAUGAUGAGCUUGAUGGAUUAUCUAUUCAGUUUAUGGUCGAUAAGAAGGAAAUGGAAGAACGACAUACUCUAGUACAAAAAAGGGAUGCAUCACAAAAAUAUGAAAAGACACCAGACCACCCUGGAGAGGUGGUAAUUGAAGGGUACUUGUUUAAAAGAAGCAGUAAUGCCUUUAAGACUUGGCAAAGG